GCACAACAGAGCAAAUAGCAGUGGCCAAGAAACCUGCCAUGAUAGGCAAAAGCAAACACUGCACCCAAAAGGAAGAAUUUUUUCUUGAAAACAAGUAACCAACUCCCCGAGGACUUCUAGAAAAAGUUGGGAGGACAAUAUUUUAGUGAGCCAGAGAAUGAAGAAGAGCCUUUCAGGGAAGCUGGAGAUGAAGAAAGAGAUGAAGGGAGGCUAUGCUGAAACAAGGACAUCAGUGAUACUGCAUCACCUCCCACUUGGCUCCUACCCUCCUCCCAAUAUGGCUUCCCAAGCUGAUCCACAACAGAUUUGUUGCCUGGGAUAUAAAGUACUGUUCCUAGACUGUGACCUACAGAAAGGCACUGAUGCACCAACCAUGGGAUUCUGGCUUUCAGUGAAAUGAAGAUUUUAUUUAGCCACCUGAGAGUGAAAGAGAGAGAAAGCACACUGAGGGAGAGGGAGAAGCAGACACCCCACCAAGCAGGGAGCCUGACACAGGGCUCAAUCAUGACCAGAACCAAAUGUAGACACUUGACAGACUGAACCACCCAGAUGCCCCAGCUGUAUGUUAAC
rnacentral:lncRNA from 1 species